rnacentral:rRNA from 1 species
UACAGAGGUCUCGAGCGUUAGGCGGAAUCACUGGGCUUAAAGCGUGUGUAGGCGGAUUGCUAAGUACCUUGUGAAAUCCCACGGCUUAACCGUGGAACUGCUUGGUAUACUGGCUGUCUUGAGCCACUUAGGGGCAACCGGAACAAACGGUGGAGCGGUGAAAUGCGUAGAUAUCGUUUGGAACGCCAAUGGUGAAAACAGGUUGCUGGGAGUGUGCUGACGCUGAGACGCGAAAGCCAGGGGAGCGAACGGG